UCAGGAAUUGGAAGCUGUUCAUCAUUUCUGAAAUGAAUCCUCCAAGCCCUUUCCCGGGCUGGAAGCAGGGUGUUAUAUAUCUGCAUGUUGAUGUUCUGGCAGCUGGACAGAAGAAGGGCAGGUGGCAGGAUUUGGGCCCAAUUUACUUGAGAAGACAUCUUCACAGAGCAUGUUCCCUUUGAUCAACAUGGAAAAGAUACUUCCCAUUGCAUAUUCCUGAAGUUAUCAUUGGCAUUAAAUAAGGGGCAGAAUGGCUGCCCUACAAGAAGACUCUCAUCGCUGGACAACACAACUUGGA